rnacentral:tRNA from 1 species
GCAGAUGUAGUCAAAUGAUAAAAUUUCUCUUUGCCUAGGAGAAGACAAAAGUUCGAUUCUCGCCAUCUGCC